rnacentral:rRNA from 1 species
GACGAACGCUGGCGGCGCGCCUAACACAUGCAAGUCGAACGAGCGAGAGAGAGCUUGCUUUCUCGAGCGAGUGGCGAACGGGUGAGUAACGCGUGAGGAACCUGCCUCAAAGAGGGGGACAACAGUUGGAAACGACUGCUAAUACCGCAUAAGCCCGCGGUGCCGCAUGGCACAGAGGGAAAAGGAGCAAUCCGCUUUGAGAUGGCCUCGCGUCCGAUUAGCUAGUUGGUGAGGUAAUGGCCCACCAAGGCGACGAUCGGUAGCCGGACUGAGAGGUUGAACGGCCACAUUGGGACUGAGACACGGCCCAGACUCCUACGGGAGGCAGCAGUGGGGAAUAUUGCACAAUGGGGGAAACCCUGAUGCAGCGACGCCGCGUGGAGGAAGAAGGUCUUCGGAUUGUAAACUCCUGUUGUUGGGGAAGAUAAUGACGGUACCCAACAAGGAAGUGACGCUAACU